GAUGAACGCUGGCGGCGUGCCUAAUACAUGCAAGUCGAGCGAACAGACGAGGAGCUUGCUCCUCUGACGUUAGCGGCGGACGGGUGAGUAACACGUGGAUAACCUACCUAUAAGACUGGGAUAACUUCGGGAAACCGGAGCUAAUACCGGAUAAUAUAUUGAACCGCAUGGUUCAAUAGUUAAAGACGGUUUUGCUGUCACUUAUAGAUGGAUCCGCGCCGCAUUAGCUAGUUGGUAAGGUAACGGCUUACCAAGGCAACGAUGCGUAGCCGACCUGAGAGGGUGAUCAGCCACACUGGAACUGAGACACGGUCCAGACUCCUACGGGAGGCAGCAGUAGGGAAUCUUCCGCAAUGGGCGAAAGCCUGACGGAGCAACGCCGCGUGAGUGAUGAAGGUCUUCGGAUCGUAAAACUCUGUUAUUAGGGAAGAACAAAUGUGUAAGUAACUAUGCACGUCUUGACGGUACCUAAUCAGAAAGCCACGGCUAACUACGUG
rnacentral:rRNA from 1 species